GACGAACGCUGGCGGCGUGCCUAAUACAUGCAAGUAGAACGCUGAAGAAAGGAGCUUGCUUCUUUUGGAUGAGUUGCGAACGGGUGAGUAACGCGUAGGUAACCUGCCUUGUAGCGGGGGAUAACUAUUGGAAACGAUAGCUAAUACCGCAUAACAGCUUUUGACACAUGUUAGAAGCUUGAAAGAUGCAAUUGCAUCACUACGAGAUGGACCUGCGUUGUAUUAGCUAGUAGGUAGGGUAACGGCCUACCUAGGCGACGAUACAUAGCCGACCUGAGAGGGUGAUCGGCCACACUGGGACUGAGACACGGCCCAGAGUCCUACGGGAGGCAGCAGUAGGGAAUCUUCGGCAAUGGGGGCAACCCUGACCGAGCAACGCCGCGUGAGUGAAGAAGGUUUUCGGAUCGUAAAGCUCUGUUGUAAGAGAAGAACGUGUGUGAGAGUGGAAAGUUCAUACAGUGACGGUAACUUACCAGAAAGGGACGGCUAACUACGUGCCAGCCGCCGCAGUAAAAC
rnacentral:rRNA from 1 species